CACGCCGUAAACGAUGUCGACUUGGAGGUUGUGCCCUUGAGGCGUGGCUUCCGGAGCUAACGCGUUAAGUCGACCGCCUGGGGAGUACGGCCGCAAGGUUAAAACUCAAAUGAAUUGACGGGGGCCCGCACAAGCGGUGGAGCAUGUGGUUUAAUUCGAUGCAACGCGAAGAACCUUACCUGGUCUUGACAUCCACGGAAGUUUUCAGAGAUGAGAAUGUGCCUUCGGGAACCGUGAGACAGGUGCUGCAUGGCUGUCGUCAGCUCGUGUUGUGAAAUGUUGGGUUAAGUCCCGCAACGAGCGCAACCCUUAUCCUUUGUUGCCAGCGGUCCGGCCGGGAACUCAAAGGAGACUGCCAGUGAUAAACUGGAGGAAGGUGGGGAUGACGUCAAGUCAUCAUGGCCCUUACGACCAGGGCUACACACGUGCUACAAUGGCGCAUACAAAGAGAAGCGACCUCGCGAGAGCAAGCGGACCUCAUAAAGUGCGUCGUAGUCCGGAUUGGAGUCUGCAACUCGACUCCAUGAAGUCGGAAUCGCUAGUAAUCGUGGAUCAGAAUGCCACGGUGAAUACGUUCCCGGGCCUUGUACACACCGCCCGUCACACCAUGGGAGUGGGUUGCAAAAGAAGUAGGUAGCUUAACCUUCGGGAGGGCGCUUACCACUUUGUGAUUCAUGACUGGGGUGAAGUCGUAACAAGGUAACCGUAGGGGAACCUGCGGUUGGAUCACCUCCUUACCUUAAAGAAGC
rnacentral:rRNA from 1 species